rnacentral:rRNA from 1 species
GGGCGUAAAGAGCUCGUAGGCGGUUUGUCGCGUCUGCUGUGAAAUCCCGAGGCUCAACCUCGGGCCUGCAGUGGGUACGGGCAGACUAGAGUGCGGUAGGGGAGAUUGGAAUUCCUGGUGUAGCGGUGGAAUGCGCAGAUAUCAGGAGGAACACCGAUGGCGAAGGCAGAUCUCUGGGCCGUAACUGACGCUGAGGAGCGAAAGGGUGGGGAGCAAACAGGCUUAGAUACCCUGGUAGUCCACCCCGUAAACGUUGGGAACUAGUUGUGGGGUCCAUUCCACGGAUUCCGUGACGCAGCUAACGCAUUAAGUUCCCCGCCUGGGGAGUACGGCCGCAAGGCUAAAACUCAAAGGAAUUGACGGGGACCCGCACAAGCGGCGGAGCAUGCGGAUUAAUUCGAUGCAACGCGAAGAACCUUACCAAGGCUUGACAUAUACGAGAACGGGCCAGAAAUGGUCAACUCUUUGGACACUCGUAAACAGGUGGUGCAUGGUUGUCGUCAGCUCGUGUCGUGAGAUGUUGGGUUAAGUCCCGCAACGAGCGCAACCCUCGUUCUAUGUUGCCAGCACGUAAUGGUGGGAACUCAUGGGAUACUGCCGGGGUCAACUCGGAGGAAGGUGGGGAUGACGUCAAAUCAUCAUGCCCCUUAUGUCUUGGACUUCACGCAUGCUACAAUGGCCGGUACAAAGGGCUGUAAUACCGUGAGGUGGAGCGAAUCCCAAAAAGCCGGUCCCAGUUCGGAUUGAGGUCUGCAACUCGACGUCAUGAAGUCGGAGUCGCUAGUAA